rnacentral:tRNA from 2 species
GAUCCAUUAGCUCAGUUGGUAGAGCACCUGACUUUUAAUCAGGGUGUCCGGGGUUCGAGUCCCCGAUGGAUCACCA